rnacentral:rRNA from 1 species
AGCAUGUGGUUUAAUUCGAAGCAACGCGAAGAACCUUUACCAGGUCUUGACAUCCCGAUGCUAUUUCUAGAGAUAGAAAGUUACUUCGGUACAUCGGUGACAGGUGGUGCAUGGUUGUCGUCAGCUCGUGUCGUGAGAUGUUGGGUUAAGUCCCGCAACGAGCGCAACCCCUAUUGUUAGUUGCCAUCAUUCAGUUGGGCACUCUAGCGAGACUGCCGGUAAUAAACCGGAGGAAGGUGGGGAUGACGUCAAAUCAUCAUGCCCCUUAUGACCUGGGCUACACACGUGCUACAAUGGUUGGUACAACGAGUUGCGAGUCGGUGACGGCGAGCUAAUCUCUUAAAGCCAAUCUCAGUUCGGAUUGUAGGCUGCAACUCGCCUACAUGAAGUCGGAAUCGCUAGUAAUCGCGGAUCAGCACGCCGCGGUGAAUACGUUCCCGGGCCUUGU